AAAAUCAAUUAUUUCGGAACUCCUGAACUUCAAUAAUUCACAAUAAAUAGCCCUUUUAUCAGAAAAUUCGAAUCUCGCGACUUUUUAUAGGAAUUUCAAUUCUCUACAACUUUACAGAAGAAAGUUUUUCCAAAUUCCAAACAGAAAUUGACCAAAAUCCAUAAACGGACGAUUUUACAGUCUAUAAUCAAUUUUCGGUCAAGAAUUGUGUCCACCGACACACAAAACAUAUGUUAAACAUUUAAUGCCACAAAAUACUCUACCUCCUCAUAUACUC
rnacentral:lncRNA from 1 species